CGAUCGACCAAUGGAGAAACAAAAGGGGGUCUAACCCUAAUUUCAACAAAAGCACCAAAUUGAAGGACAAAUCUAGCCCGAAUCAGGUGCAUGAACACGUAUAAACGAUCACCAAGUCAAGAGGAUCGUAAGUUUGACGCUUAACGAGCUACAUGGAGGCUUGGGAAAGAAGCGGGUCAAACGGAUUGAGUACGCGGAAAAGUGUAUAACCGGAUGCAAGGUUUCAGCAACAAAACUGCUGGAAAAUCAUCUUCCCCGCAGCACGCGAUAGGGAGCAGUAAUCCUGGCACGACACGUGAGGGUGCUGGCGGCACGCGAAAGAUCAAGCGGAGUCUGUCGCGUGGCACGACAGACUAAAUUUCGAAAUUUUAUUUUGUUUUUGAUUGUUCGAUACUAGAACUUGAUUAUACUAUUAUUUAAGAUAUCAAAACUAACUUUUAAGUUGGUUUUGAUCACAGGUGAAUAUCAGGAGUACCGGAUGAAGAUCAAGCGAUGAGAAAGAACCGAACACAUGAAGAAGAAGCUUCCGCACGUUAUUUUGUCGAAAUUUUUAAACGACAAACUAAACUACAUUAUGUUGUUCUAAACUUUAAAUUGUAAAAGUUUUAAAUAAAUCCGUAUUUUUUAAUGUAUAUGUGCUCUUAAUCACAUGUUUAUUUUCGUAAAUUAUACGUAAAUCGUAAAAUAAUAGCAAGGGUGUUACAAGUUGGUAAUCAGAGCUCACGGUUAAAAGAAUAAAGUGUUCGGUUCGAGGCUUGAUCGCAAAUCCGGUAAGUACAUGUAUGUUAAUGGUUUAGUAUGAUUAAAGUGUUGUGAACAACACAUAGGGUUAUCAUGUAAUACACGUUACCCCAAUGAAAAUGAUUGGUACAGUUAACGAAAACACGUGCGUUGACACGUACAAUAAAAAGCCUUGUAUUACUAUACAGGCGUUUAUUAAUGUCGAAAUUACUAACUUUUGUAAAUGUUUUAAUUGAAGGACACUCGCAUCUGAAGAUGACGAGAAUUGAAUAAAUUGCGGGUAUGACGGAGGAACGGUCCGAGGUAUGACAAGCAGAGCAUACUCGUCAAGAACCUAAAUCGCGUAGCGAUAGCGAACAAGGUUAACGGCAAGAGAAGCCCGUUAGGCCAAGCAUUACCAGUUUGACGCUUAACGAGCUACAUGGAGGCUUGGGAAAGAAGCGGGUCAAACGGAUUGAGUACACGGAAAAGUGUAUAACCGGAUGCAAGGUAAGUAACUACUUACAACCCUUUUAUUUUAUAGAAUACUUAGUAUGUGAAUUGAAAAUGAAUGGAGAAAAAUCCGUAAUUGAAUUUGAUGUUCCGACGCGAACAAAAUGAGUCAGAACAAGUGAAAGUGAUAAAAUCCAUAAUGGUUGUAAAAAAAGGGGGUAAAAUAGUAAAUUAGUAAAUUAGUCACGAGUUUGACACAAUAUUUGACCAGAAUUUGGUUAACAACAUAAAGGAUGUUUACUAAUUUUUAUAGAUUUUUAUAAAGUUGUUUGACGAGGUUUUCGCGGAUGUUUUGUCAAUAAAUUAGUUGUUGACAGCAACAGUUCCACUACUUGCAGAACUUAUUUCGAGGUCUUAACCAUCGAGUUUUGACGCGAUAAUUGACCAGAAGUUGGUUUACAACAUAAAGGAUGUUUAGUAAUUUUUAUAGAUUUUUAUAAAGUUCUCUGACGAGGUCUUUGCGGAUGUUUUGUCAAUAAAUUAGUUGUUGACAGCAACAGUUCCGCUACUUGCAGAACUUAUUUCGAGGUCUUAACCAUCGAGUUUUGACACGAUAAUUGACCAGAAGUUGGUUUACAACAUAAAGGAUGUUUAGUAAUUUUUAUAGAUUUUUAUAAAGUUGUCUGACGAGGUUUUUGCGGAUCUUUUGUCAAUAAAUUAGUUGUUGACAGCAACAGUUCCGCUACUUGCAGAACUUAUUUCGAGGUCUUAACCAUCGAGUUUUGACACGAUAAUUGACCAGAAGUUGGUUUACAACAUAAAGGAUGUUUAGUAAUUUUUAUAGAUUUUUUAUAAAGUUGUCUGACGAGGUUUUCGCGGAUGUUUUGUCAAUAAAUUAGUUGUUAACAGCAACAGUUCCGCUACUUGCAGAAAUUAUUUCGAGGUCUUAACCAUCGAGUUUUGACACGAUAUUUGACCAGAAGUUGGUUUACAACAUAAAGGAUGGUUAGUAAUUUUUAUAGAUUUUUUUAAAGUUGUUCGACGAGGUUUUUGCGGAUGUUUUGUCAAUAAAUUAGUUGUUGACAGCAACAGUUCUGUUACUUGCAGAAAUUAUUUCGAUGUCUUAACUAUCGAGUUUUGACCUGAUAUUUGGCCAGAAGUUGUUUAACAACAUAAAUAAUGUUUGGUAAGUUUUAUACAUUUUAGACAUAAGUCUUUUGUGAGUCAAAUGCCUAAAAAGGGGUCAUUAGCGUAAAGUGACUAAACGAAGGGUAAAUUUGGGAUUUCGAGUUUUCUUAAGUUAAAACCACCACAAAAAUAGUUGUGGUGGAAAAUAAGUAGGUAUUUAAAUUUGGAAAUUCGAGGUGUGAAAAAAAAAGAAGAAGAGCGGAUUUGAUGCUUAGACGCACAAAAAUCCUCUAAACGGGUCAAAACGGAUUACGCGCAUAACUUAGAUAUUGGCCGCGUAAUUCACAAAAGUCAUGAAUCCGAAAUAAAGAUUUUGAGUUAAAUACUCUGGUAUAUGAUUUAUGAUUAAUUAGAAAUAAGUUUUGGUGGUUUUAAAUAAAAACGGGUCAAAAUGUUGAUUUUGAAUAAUAAGCCGAAUGCUUAAAAAUCCAUAAUUUUAUUAGUUCGAAUGUCGGAUUUAAACUCCAUGCGAUGGAGAAUCAAAUUUCGAGCGUAUAGGAAAAAGAAUCAGGUAAAACGGAUAAGUAGAUAAAAAGUUAUGACACUUUAAAGAUCAUUUUACGAUUAAAACCAUAGCUGAAAAAAAUGCAGGUUUCAGCAACAAAACUGCUGGAAAAUCAUCUCCCCCGCGGUACGCGAUAGGGAGCAGUAAUCCUGGCGCGACACGUGAGGGUGCUCGCGGCAUGCGAAAGAUCAAGCGGAGUCUGUCGCGUGGCGCGACAGACUAAAUUUCGAAAUUUUAUUUUGUUUUUGAUUUUUCGAUAGUAGAACUUGAGUAUACUAUUAUUUAAGAUAUCAAAACUAACUUUUAAGUUGGUUUUGAUCACAGGUGAAUAUCAGGAGUACCGGAUGAAGAUCAAGCGAUGAGAAAGAACCGAACACAUGAAGAAGAAGCUUUCGCACGUUGUUUUGUUGAAAUUUUUAAACGACAAACUAAACUACAUUAUGUUGUUCUAAACUUUAAAUUGUAAAAGUUUUAAAUAAAU